AAACUAACAAGGAUUCCCCUAGUAGCGGCGAGCGAAGCGGGAAGAGCUCAAAUUUAUAAUCUGGCACCUUCGGUGUCCGAGUUGUAAUCUCUAGAAAUGUUUUCCGCGCUGGACCGCACACAAGUCUGUUGGAAUACAGCGGCAUAGUGGUGAGACCCCCGUAUAUGGUGCGGAUGCCCAGCGCUUUGUGAUACAUUUUCGAAGAGUCGAGUUGUUUGGGAAUGCAGCUCAAAUUGGGUGGUAAAUUCCAUCUAAAGCUAAAUAUUGGCGAGAGACCGAUAGCGAACAAGUACCGUGAGGGAAAGAUGAAAAGCACUUUGGAAAGAGAGUUAACAGUACGUGAAAUUGUUGGAAGGGAAACGCUUGAAGUCAGACUUGCUUGCCGAGCAAUCGGUUUGCAGGCCAGCAUCAGUUUUCCGGGAUGGAUAAUGGUAGAGAGAAGGUAGCAGUUUCGGCUGUGUUAUAGCUCUCUACUGGAUACAUCUUGGGGGACUGAGGAACGCAGUGUGCCUUACGGCGGGGGUUUCGACCUCUUCACACUUAGGAUGCUGGUGGAAUGGCUUUAAACGAC
rnacentral:rRNA from 1 species